GACGAACGCUGGCGGCGUGCUUAACACAUGCAAGUCGAACGGAGCGAAUGAAAGCUUGCUUUUAUGAGCUUAGUGGCAAACGGGUGAGUAACACGUAGGCAACCUGCCGACAGGAUGGGGACAACAUUCCGAAAGGAAUGCUAAUACCGAAUGAAGCGGAGGAGAGGCAUCUCCCCUCCGUGAAAGAUGGCCUCUUUUUAUGCUAUCACCUGUCGAUGGGCCUGCGUCUGAUUAGCUGGUAGGUGAGGUAACGGCUCACCUAGGCGACGAUCAGUAGCCGGUCUGAGAGGAUGAACGGCCACAUUGGGACUGAGACACGGCCCAGACUCCUACGCUGAGGCAGCAGUGGGGAAUCUUCCGCAAUGGGCGCAAGCCUGACGGAGCAACGCCGCGUGAGUGAAGAAGGUCUUCGGAUCGUAAAGCUCUGUUGAUGGGGACGAACGUGCCUAAUGCGAAUAGUA
rnacentral:rRNA from 1 species